CGCUUACGUAGCCGUGAUGUCACCUACGUUUCUCCUACGUCACUACGUUCCCAUGAUGCACCGCGAAACUCGUCGUGAGCGUCAUGUGGUCACCGUCUGAGUAAAGUGAGGCGUGUUUGGACUAAUGCUGACGGUGAGGACACGUUCGAGAUGCAUUCGGUGCAGCUCGAGCUG